rnacentral:tRNA from 1 species
GUUAGGGUGAGCUAAAAAAGCUCUUUGGCUGUUACCCGAAAAAUGGGUCUAUAGUUGGGGCCCCCCUAACG